rnacentral:rRNA from 1 species
ACGAACGCUGGCGGCGUGCUUAACACAUGCAAGUCGAACGGUGAAGGGAUCAGCUUGCUGGUUCUGGAUGAGUGGCGAACGGGUGAGUAACACGUGAGUAACCUGCCCCCUUCUUCUGGAUAACCGCAUGAAAGUGUGACUAAUACGGGAUAUUCUGCGCCUGCUGCAUGGUGGGUGUGGGAAAGAUAUUGUUUCGGUGGGGGAUGGGCUCGCGGCCUAUCAGCUUGUUGGUGGGGUGAUGGCCUACCAAGGCGGUGACGGGUAGCCGGCCUGAGAGGGUGGACGGUCACACUGGGACUGAGACACGGCCCAGACUCCUACGGGAGGCAGCAGUGGGGAAUAUUGCACAAUGGGCGCAAGCCUGAUGCAGCGACGCCGCGUGAGGGAUGGAGGCCUUCGGGUUGUGAACCUCUUUCGCCAGUGAAGCAGGCCUGUCCCUUGUGGGUGGGUUGACGGUAGCUGGAUAAGAAGCGCCGGCUAACUACGUG